GACGAACGCUGGCGGCGUGCUUAACACAUGCAAGUCGAACGGAAAGGCCCUGCUUUGGUGUGGUGCUCGAGUGGCGAACGGGUGAGUAACACGUGAGUAACCUGCCCGGGACUUGGGGAUAACUUCAGGAAACUGUGGCUAAUACCGGAUAGCAGCUCCUGCUGCAUGGUGUGGGUUGGAAAGUUUCGGCUGUUGGGGUUGGAGUGGGGGCUUAUGAGUUUGUGGGUGGUGUAGUGGCUAACCAAGGCUUUGGCGGAUAGCCGGCCUGAGAGGGUGACCGGCGACCUGGGGACUGCGAUAGGGAGCAGAAUCCAACCGGCGGCAAUAGUCGGGAAUAUUGCCCAAUGGGGGGGAGCGUGAUAAAGAAACGCCGGGUGCGGAAAGCCCGCUUUCGGGUUGUAAACCGCUGUGGGAUGUGAAGGAGCAUGAGUGAAGGUAAUGUGUAAAGAAGCACCGGCUAACUACGUG
rnacentral:rRNA from 1 species